rnacentral:rRNA from 1 species
GUGAGGAAUAUUGCGCAAUGGAGGCAACUCUGACGCAGCCAUGCCGCGUGCAGGAAGAAGGCGCUACGCGUUGUAAACUGCUUUUAACCGGGAAGAAACCCCAGGACGUGUCCUGGGUUGACGGUACCGGAGGAAUAAGCACCGGCUAACUUCGUGCCAGCAGCCGCGGUAAUACGAAGGGUGCAAGCGUUAUCCGGAUUCAUUGGGUUUAAAGGGUGCGUAGGCGGAGCGUUAAGUCAGUGGUGAAAUCCUGCAGCUUAACUGUAGACUUGCCAUUGAUACUGGCGCUCUUGAGUGCGCUUGAAGUGGGCGGAAUGUGCCGUGUAGCGGUGAAAUGCUUAGAUAUGGCACAGAACACCAAUUGUGAAGGCAGCUCACUAAGGCGAUACUGACGCUGAGGCACGAAAGCGUGGGGAUCGAACAGGAUUAGAUACCCUUGUAGUCC